CUCUGGUGGGAAUUGGGUUGCCUUGCCAAAGUGGGUCAGGCUGGAGCUGGCUGGGGCAUCCUCCAAUAAGAGACACGUGGGUGUCUUGGUUGCAGGAGGUGCCCCGGUCCCUAGCAGGCAGUACGUCCAACUGGGGACUGACUGUUGCCAAUUUGUAGCUGCCUCCUCACGCUGUUUUUGUGUGUGUGUGGGCAUGUGGCGUUUCCCUCCACCUGGGAGAAUAUGCAGGCGGUUAGGGCCCGCCCUAGCUCCACAAGCCUGUAGACCCAACGCCUGCUGAAGGGGUGCCUACUGCGCCUACACCUGCAGAGCUCUUCAGGGUAGGUGGGGAUCUGGAAAAAGGCCCCGGGUCCAGGAAGGGCUGACCACACGAUGCAGGCUCUAGGGGAACGAGAUGUCUGCCUAAUUGUAACCCCUAACCAGACAAUGGCGCCCAUCAUCCACUGAAGGCCACUUGGAGGGGACCCACCGCCUUGCCAGGGCCGGGCGGGCUGCCCAGAGUGUCCUCCAAUAAGACACACCUAGGAGCCCUGGUUGCUGGAGAGGCUGCGGCUACUUGGGGCUUGAUGCAGGAGGGUUAACUGCACUUGCAGGUCCCGAAUAUCCCCCUGGAGCAAGAGGAAACAGGUCCUAGACUUGGGGCCCGCAUGGAGACAGGCCCGGCUCAGGAACGGCAGGUCACUAUGAAGUGCUAUUAUGGGAAACAAAGCAAUGUCCAAUGCCCUACCUAUAAAAAGGAGGACAUCCCCCUGAAGCCAGAUAUCUCAAGACCCCUGAAGCCUUGCUCGGUGGGACAAGAGCGUCUUAGAAUAAGAGACACCUGGAACCCUUGUUCCUGGAGAAGGCCAGAUCUCCAUCAGGCAGAAAGUCCAAAUGGCGACUGACUGUGAGCAAUUUGCCACUGCCGCCUCAGAGUGAUAUUUGCAGGGUGGGCUCCCUCCCCGCUGGAGCCUAUGCUGGUGUUUGGGUUCGAAACUAGCUCCAUAGGCCGGGAGGACCGCAGCUGCUGUAGGCCGGCUGAUGGGAUGCGUUCUGCGCAUGCGCGAGCCGUGCAGUUCCUGGUAGCCAAGGACCACGAACAGGGCAAGAGUGGGGAGAGGUGGGGUUGCAGGAGCAGGACCUUGGGGAACAAGGCCUCUGCCUAAUUCCGAACGCUAAGCUACACAAAGUGCCUGUUCCCCCUGACGGCAGAACAUGAGGAUACCGGCGUGGGCGGGCUGGCUGCUGUAUCCUGCAAUAAGACACACCUGGCAGCCCUGGUUGCUGAGAAGCAGAGACCUCAUCAAACACUUGCCUUGCACGGGUCCCAGGAGCAAACUGAAGAUGUCCAUUCGCAGAUAAAGCAUGUCAGUUGCCUAUAUCCACGUACCCAUCACCCCAGAGAAUCUUCAGUAUGUCCAUUAUUCCAGAAAGUUUCCCUGUGCCGCUCUGCAGUCAAUUUGUACCCCUCACGACCCCAGAGGAACCAUUUUUAAUUUCUAUCACCUUAGAUAUUGUGGGACUUCAUAUAAUUAUAACCAUGUAUCAUAUGCUCUUUUGUGUCAGCUUCUUUCACUCAACAUAAUAUUUUUUGAUAUUAUUCCGUGUUGUAAUGUGAAUCUGUGGUUUGUUCCUUUUAAUUGGACAAGAGUAGUCCAUUGCAUUACUGUACCAUACUUUAUUUAUCCGAUCUCCUAUUGAUGAGCAUGUGGGUUGUCUCCACUUUUGGCUGUUGUGCAUAAAGCAUCUUUAAACAUUCUCAUACAGAGCUUUCUGUGGAUAUGGGUUUUCGUAUCUCUUCAGUAAACACCAAGGAUUGGAAUUUCUGGGUCACAGGGAAAGUGUACAUUUAACCUUAUAAGAAGAUGACAUUCUCUCCCUUUUUCCAUUUCUGCCAGUAGCAAUAUGUGAGAGUUCUGAUUGCUCCAUAUCCUCACCAGAUUGGAUAUUGUGAUUUGAUUUCAGUCAUUCUAUAGGAUGUGGAGUUUGUAAAUCUUCUUGAGGUUUUACUUUUCAUUUCCCUGGUGAUUAAUGAUGUUGAGCAUCUUUUCAAGGUCUAGUGGCCAUUUGUUUAUUUUCUUCUGCAAAGUGAGUGCUUAAGAAUUUUGCCUGUUUAUUGUUUUUUAAAAAAUUGAUGCUUCAAAGGAGUUCUUUGAGUAUUCUGUAUUUGUAUCUUUAUUCAGACAUGUAUUGUAAAUUUUUUUCCCCUAAAAUAUGGCUUGCCUGUUCAUUUUCUUAAUGGUAUUUUUUGGUGAAUGGAAAUUUUAAAUUUUGAAAGAUCAAUUUGUCAUUUUUUUGUUGUUGUCAUUGCUUCUAUAGUCUUGUUUAAA
rnacentral:lncRNA from 1 species